rnacentral:snoRNA from 1 species
GCUGCACACAGUUGGAGCUUGGAGCUGAGGCCCGUUUCUGGCCGAGGAACUCUCAAGUGUAGGACGUGUGCUAGAGUAACCUUGCAGGACUUUUCACUGACACCAUGAGGGCCUCAGUGGCCCAAUGAGUGGAGUUUGGUAGUCAUUCUUGCCACAGUU